UAGUCCACGCUGUAAACGAUGUCUACUAGCCGUUGGCCUCCUUGAGGGGUUAGUGGCGCAGCAAACGCGAUAAGUAGACCGCCUGGGGAGUACGGCCGCAAGGUUAAAACUCAAAUGAAUUGACGGGGGCCCGCACAAGCGGUGGAGCAUGUGGUUUAAUUCGAUGCUACGCGAAGAACCUUACCACCCUUUGACAUCCUGUUCGGGGAUUAUAGAGAUAUUUUCCUUCGGUUCGGCCGGAACAGUGACAGGUGUUGCAUGGCUGUCGUCAGCUCGUGUCGUGAGAUGUUGGGUUAAGUCCCGCAACGAGCGCAACCCUCAUCCUUUGUUGCCAGCGGAUAAUGCCGGGGACUCUAAGGAAACUGAUCGUGACAAGCGAGAGGAAGGUGGGGAUGACGUCAAGUCAUCAUGGGCCCUUACAGGGGUGGGGCUACACACGUGCUACAAUGGCGUUUUACAAUGGGUCGCUAGCUCGCGAGGGCAUGCUAAUCU
rnacentral:rRNA from 1 species